UACGUAGGUGGCAAGCGUUGUCCGGAUUUACUGGGCGUAAAGAGCGCGCAGGCGGUCGUUCAAGUCGCGUGUGAAAGCCCCCGGCUCAACUGGGGAGGGUCACGCGAUACUGAUCGACUCGAAGGCAGGAGAGGGUAGUGGAAUUCCCGGUGUAGUGGUGAAAUGCGUAGAUAUCGGGAGGAACACCGGUGGCGAAGGCGGCAUCCUGGACCAAUUCUGACGCUGAGGAGCGAAAGCCAGGGGAGCAAACGGG
rnacentral:rRNA from 1 species